rnacentral:tRNA from 1 species
GCAGGUGUAUUUACUGGUAUAACUUCAGCCUUGCAAGCUGAACACGCCGGUUCGAUUCCUAUCACCCGCU